rnacentral:lncRNA from 1 species
UUCCUCUUCAAUUAUUAAAUAUACAAUUUUCAACCCAAACCUUAAUCAUUUUCUCCCCUUCCAAUUCAAUUUCUUUCCAAACCCUUAAAAUCAUUUCCCAUAUAUUUUCCCUCUCUCCAUCUUCUCUUUUCUCAAUAUCUCUACCUACCACAGCCACUUACGAAGCAGCCACACACUCUCUAAUCUAGCGAGGAAAGACAACACAGUGUAACCUCGCACCACCACUCAUCUCUACGUUGACGUCGCUCUCUUCUAUUGAAGUGGUAUUGCAAUCGCACCCAUAUCUCCCAUCAUUUGUUGAUGCAAGGGUCGUCACGCGUAGCUCGUAGAGGUGUUUAGCCAUCAUUGUUUGUGAUUUUGUAUCGAUUUGUGUACCAGCAUUGACCAUGGUUUGCGAUUUGUUGCUUGUGGCUGGCAUAUUUUGAGAUGAUUUUUGGACGUGAAGGAUGGCUACCAAGCUAAAUUUGGUUGGGUUCUGUUGGUUAUUGGUGUCGGUGGCGGUUUACAUGGUUUGGUGAGGUUGGGGGUAUUUUAAUAGUGAUUGUGUUGUUAGAUCUCGUGUUGAUGGUGGUAGCCUUCGUGGUGGUGGUACAGAGAUUGUGGUAGUAGGUGGGAUGUUACUGGUGGAUCUCGUGCUGUUGGUGGUGAUGAAUACAACGGUGGUGGGAGUUGUCAAGGUGGUGGUGCAAAGGUUGUGAUAGUAGGUGGGAUGGGAUAUGGUGGUGCUGGGUGUUUUACGCCAAUUAUUUGGUUGAUUGUGACAAAUAAUUGAUUAAUCCUUGUCAAAGAAAUAAUAUGAUCGUGAUUCAAAUUUUAUUAAGUUGUGAUCGCGAAAUAAUUUUGACCAAU